rnacentral:rRNA from 1 species
CCAAUCUAGAGUNUCGGAGAGGAAAGUGGAAUUCCUAGUGUAGCGGUGAAAUGCGUAGAUAUUAGGAAGAACACCAGUGGCGAAGGCGACUUUCUGGACGAAAACUGACGCUGAGGCGCGAAAGCCAGGGGAGCGAACGGGAUUAGAUACCCCGGUAGUCCUGGCCGUAAACGAUGGGUACUAGGUGUAGGAGGUAUCGACCCCUUCUGUGCCGGAGUUAACGCAAUAAGUACCCCGCCUGGGGAGUACGACCGCAAGGUUGAAACUCAAAGGAAUUGACGGGGGCCCGCACAAGCGGUGGAGUAUGUGGUUUAAUUCGUCGCAACGCGAAGAACCUUACCAGGUCUUGACAUUGAUGGACAGAACCAGAGAUGGUUCCUCUUCUUCGGAAGCCAGAAAACAGGUGGUGCACGGUUGUCGUCAGCUCGUGUCGUGAGAUGUUGGGUUANNNNNNNNANCGAGCGCAACCCCUAUCUUAUGUUGCCAGCACUUUGGGUGGGGACUCAUGAGAGACUGCCGCAGACAAUGCGGAGGAAGGCGGGGAUGACGUCAAAUCAUCAUGCCCCUUAUGACCUGGGCUACACACGUACUACAAUGGGAGUUAAUAGACGGAAGCGAGAUCGCGAGAUGGAGCAAACCCGAGAAACACUCUCUCAGUUCGGAUCGUAGGCUGCAACUCGCCUACGUGAAGUCGGAAUCGCUAGUAAUCGCAGGUCAGCAUACUGCGGUGAAUACGUUCCCGGGCCU